UAGUGCCAAAAACUAACACAUUUCAGAUCAAGGCAAAGACAGAGAGGUGGGGCAGGAGGGUAAAGCUGCUGUCUAAUGUCACCAAAGCUGCUGUCUAUAGCGUUUUGUGUGCAGUUUACAGGGAAAAGAUAACAAUGACUGCUAUUAUACUAUUAAUUUUGUUUUUACCUGCUGGCUUCAGUGUAAAACAGUCUCCUGUAGAUCUUUCAGCUUAUGAGGGUCAGAAUGCGACUCUUCAGUGUACUCAGAUCGGUACCACCUAUAACAGCAUGUACUGGUUCAGAAAGAGACCGUCUGAAUCCCUGGAGCUCAUCGUGUUCUAUUAUGUUAGCUCUGAGACACUAGAAGAGAAGUUUAAGGAGAAAGUUUCUGCCAGAAGAAUCGGCAGCUCUCUGGAACUAACAGUGAAGGAGCUGCAGAGCUCAGACAGCGCCGUCUACUUCUGCGCAAAACAGGAUGCACAGCGUGACAAAGUCAUUUUAAACCUGAACAAGAACUGCACCUGUGAACUGAAGCACACAAACUUAUGUUAA